UCUGGUGUCCUAGGCGUAGAGGAACCACACCAAUCCAUCCCGAAUUUGGUGGUUAAACUCUACUGCGGUGACGAUACUGUAGGGCAGGUCCUGCGGCAAAAUAGCUCGAUGCCAGAA
rnacentral:rRNA from 1 species